CGACUUGAUUUUGGUGUUACUGUAAACAAUCAUAGGAUGUCAUUUGUAAAAAAAAUCGAGUGUUUAAUAGUGAUUUCGAAUGAUAUUUGUUAUAUAUCAAGCAAUCCGAAGAAUUUAAAAAGCUAUUCUCAAGCUAAUACAUGGGGGAUUAAGAAAACAAAUUUCGUUCAAUGUGCAAGUGUGCAGGCCCGGAAAAUAUUGGAUUCUCCCUUACCCCCAUGGCACUGCGGCGG